GUCACACGCAGCCCCACCUGCCAUGGGGACCCGGCCUGAGGAACAGUGGAGGGAGCUCCGAGACCAGGGCGGCGCGAAAGCAUCUGGUGUUUUCUAGCUUCCCUGAACAUGGUGAGCAAAAGCUGCCUCCCCACAGCACCUCUGGGACUCUCUGACAAGCCAGGUGCAUGCCUGGCCCAAGACAAGAUGCCUGGGCUUCCCUGCAGGUACCUGACCUGGGACUGACAUGGCUACUGGGCAGUACAAGACACGGGCUCUCCUCCUUCCGGGCUCUGCUGGGCUUCCCUGGUGGCGCAGUGGUUGAGAAUCUGCCUGCCAAUGCAGGGGACACGGGUUCGAGUCCUGGUCUGGGAGGAUCCCACAUGCCGCGGAGCAACUGGGCCCGUGUGCCACAAUUACUGAGCCUGCGCGUCUGGAGCCUGUGCUCUGCAACGAGAGAGGCCGCGAUAGUGAGAGGCCUGCGCACCGUGAUGAGGAGUGGCCCCCACUUGCCGCAACUGGAGAAAGCCCUCGCACAGAAACGAAGACCCAACACAGCCAUAAAUAAAUAAAAUAAAUAAAUAAAGAUACAUGAAAUUGCUAAAAUUAAAAAAAAAAAAAUGGGACAUGCUCAAAAAAAAAAACAGCUAUCCACAAAGAUGCUUUGUUCCAAUUUUCCAUCCUUUUAGAUUGAUACAAAGCAUUUUAACUGCGUAGAAACAGAAAAUGAAUAGAAAGAACUUUGCAUUACAUUUAAUGAAAGUUUAGGGAGAUCUUUGUGGUACAUUAGUGAAGUUAUUUGGGGAAACUUUAGCCAUGUACAUUGUGUUGGGGAGGCACCAAGAAUUCAAGAAUUCUCAAAGUUUGAGUACGCAGUUGCCUUACAUGUAGGCAUGGUGGCAGCCAUGUACAUAACAGUGAUUUGGAGGAUGUUGUAUUAGUCAGCUCUUGCUGUGAUAAUGCUUUGGAACAAAUCUCCCCCAAACUCAGUUACAUAAAUAAGAAUUUAUUUUUCUUGGACCUAUGGGCUAGCUGCAGUGGCUCUCUUUUCGACCUCUAGAUGGCUGGUAUUGCUCCAUGUUUUGGGUCAGUUUGAGGUCUGUGCCACACAUCUUACUGUGGAGCCCAACUGUGAGGCCUCAGCUCCCAGGCCCUGUCUUCUCACGAAGUUCACUGAAACGUAAGAGGUGAGCCCAACCACACAAGCCCACUUAAGACCUCUGCAACUCAUUUAAGGCCAUCAUGUCUGCUCACACUUCAUUGGCCAAAACAUGUCACAGAUCUAAGUUGUAUUUAGAAUACGUGUAUUUGUUUAACAUUGGGUGUUCUCACAGAAGAAUAUUGCAUUUUGCACAGUGUUACCUUAGCAUUUUCAUUGGCAUUUGCAAAUGUGAUAAACGUUGUGUGCACUUUUUCACCUUUGAGAACUUUUUGAAAUUGUGGGACAAUUUCUAUGGGAAAAGAGGAAGGUACACUUUAGAACUCAACUCUAGUUAUGGCAUUGUUGGGAGAAGAAUUAAUGAUGAUAAGGUCAAUACAAAUGAAAGCUUUGGGAUUCAUAUAUUCAUCAUUAACAGCAGCAUUCUACAGAACAUUCCUGGAGAAUUGUGAUGCUAGCUUUAGGUGAUUUCUAUCAUAAAUCAUUAUAAUUUGACAAAGCCAUUUCAGUAAAACAUACAUCAUAUAGUACAUUGCAUUUUAGUUUUUCCUAACACUCCACAACAUAUCAUCAAGACUCUUAACACAGAAACAGAAACAGAAACAGAAACAGAAACAGAAACUGAGUGAAUUCAUUGUUAGCAGACGGGCUUCACCAGCAAUACUAGUGGAAGUUCUUCAAAUGAUAGCUGGCAGUAACUCAAGCCAUAAAAACAAAACAAAGAAUGCUGACUAGAGCAGUUGUGUAGGGAAUUAUAAAAGAUAAUGUAAUUUCAAAUUUCUUAUCCUUUCUUCUCUUAACUAAUUUAAAAGUAAGUGCAUAAACAAUAUGACUAUAUUUUGAUUGUUCUGUAUAUAACAUAAAGAAAUAUCAUACAUUUGAUGAUAUGGCACAAAGAAAGCAGUGAGAACAAAGCUGUAUUAGAAUAAAAAUGACAGCAGAUCAUAACCUGAAUCUGCAGGAAGAAAGGAAGAGAGCCAGAAAUGGUAAAUAAAUAGAUUAACCCAGCAAACUCUAUAAAUAUUUAUUUGCUCUACUUUCUUCUCUAAGCUCCUUUAAAAGAUAAGGUUGUGUGAAGUAAUAAUUAUAAUAAUCUGUUGUUUAGUAUGUAACAUAUAUAAAUGUAAUAAAAACAAAAAAGAGGGAAAGGAAUACAGCUCUCUAAAAGUACAGUUUCUGGUUCUCACUGGAAUGAAGCUACUAUAAAUCUGAAGAGAUUCUGUGAAGAUGUAUUACAUAAGCCCUAGUGCAGCCAUUACUCAAAAAAGUGGUUAAAAAUCAUUAAAGGAAUUAAAUGUUAACAAUAGAAAAUAUCCACUUAAUAUAAAAGGAAAAUGGAGGUACAACAAAAAUAACAAAAAACAAAAACAUGAGGCAUGUAGAAAACCAAAGGUAAAAUGUUAGACAUAAAUAAAUUCUACCUUAUCAAUAAUAAAACCUAAAUGUAGUGAAUUAAACAAUACAAUCAAAAGGCAUAUAUUGUCAAACUGCGUUUAAAAACAUGUUUUCUACAGGAGACACUCCUUGGAUUCAAAGGUCUAAUGUGAACAAAGUAAAAGGAUGAAAAAAUAUACAUCAUGCAAAUAGCAACCAUAAGAAUGCUGAAGUGGCUAUACUAAUACCAGAAAAACUAGACUCUAAAACAAACAAAAAAUUACUAGAUAUGAAAAGAGACAUUUUAUGAUAAAAAAAGGGAAGAUACAAAAAUUAUUAACAUAUGUGCCCUGAAUAAGAUAAAACCAAAAUACAUGAAGAAGAAAAUACCAAAAUACAUGAAGAAUUGAAGGAAGAAAUAGAUCAUUCCACAACAUUAGGUAGAGGCUUCAGUACUCCACGGUCAAUAUGGAUAGAACAAUUAGGCAGAAGAUCAAUAAGGAUAUAGAAGAAUUGGACAACACUAUGAAUUAGCAAGACCUAAUAAACGUCUACAGAACACUCAACCAAACAGUAAAAUAUGCAUACUUCUCAACUACACGUGAAAUGUUUUCCAGCAUAGAUGACAUGCUAGGCUAUAAGACAAGAGAUUGAAACCCACAUACAUUGCUGGUGGGAAUAUCAAAUGGUACAGCCAUUUUACAAAACAGCUUGACAGUUCCUCCAAGUGUUACAUAUAGAGUUACCCUAUGACCCAGCAGUUUCACUACUAAAUAUAUACCUAAGAGAAAUAAAAACUUCUGUCUACACAAAACCUUGUAUGUGAAUGUUCACAGAAGCAUAUUUCUGAAAACAAAAGGUGGAAAAAAUUCAAAUGUCAAUCUGACAAAUGAAUAAACAAAAUGUGGAAUAUCCAUACAAUAGAAUAGCAUUCAGCUAUAAAAAGGAAUGAAAUAUUGAUCCGUGUUACAACAUGGAUGAACCAUGGAAGCAUUAUGUAAAGUAAAAGCAGCCACUCACAAAAGAUCACAUAUUGUAUGGUCCCAUUUAUAUGAAAUGCCCGGAAGAGCAAAUCUGUAGAGACAGAAAGGAGAUUAGUGGUUGCCUAGGGCUGAGAGGGUUGAGGAGAAUGAAAAAACUUUGUUAAUGUGUAAUGGGUUUUUUUGUGGGGGGACAAAAAUCUACAAUUGGAUUGUUGUGAUGCUUACACACGUCUUUUAGUGGUUACACUAAGAAUCACUGAAUUGUAUACAUUAAAGGGUUGAAAUUAUGGUAUGUAAAUUACAUCCCAA